rnacentral:rRNA from 1 species
CAGGAGGCAGCAGUGGGGAAUAUUGCGCAAUGGGGGAAACCCUGACGCAGCGAUGCCGCGUGAGUGAAGAAGGCCUUCGGGUCGUAAAGCUCUGUCAAACGGGAAGAAUAGCUUCGGGGCUAAUAUCCUCGAGGUGUGACGGUACCGUUGAAGGAAGCACCGGCUAACUCCGUGCCAGCAGCCGCGGUAAGACGGAGGGUGCAAGCGUUAUUCGGAUUUAUUGGGCGUAAAGAGCAUGUAGGCGGUCGGCCAAGUCUGAUGUGAAAUCCCGGGGCUUAACCUCGGAAGGGCGUUGGAAACUGGUCGACUUGAGUUCGGGAGAGGAAAGCGGAAUUCCGGGUGUAGAGGUGAAAUUCGUAGAUAUCCGGAGGAACACCGGUGGCGAAGGCGGCUUUCUGGACCGAAACUGACGCUGAGAUGCGAAAGCGUGGGGAGCAAACAGGAUUAGAUACCCUCGUAC